UGUCAGCAGCCGCGGUAAAACGUAGGAGGCAAGCGUUAUCCGGAUUCACUGGGCGUAAAGCGCGUGCAGGCGGUUCGGUAAGUUGGGCGUGAAAUCUCCUGGCUUAACUAGGAGAGGUCGUUCAAUACUACCUAACUUGAGAGUGAUAGAGGAAGAUGGAAUUCCCGGUGUAGUGGUGAAAUGCGUAGAUAUCGGGAGGAACACCAGUGGCGAAAGCGAUCUUCUGGAUCAUUUCUGACGCUCAGACGCGAAAGCUAGGGUAGUAAACGGGAUUAGAGACCCCGGUAAUCCUAGCCGUAAACGAUGUAAACUUGGCGUCGGUGGCUUAAACUCCAUCGGUGCCGCAGCUAACGCGAUAAGUUUACCGCCUGGGGACUACGAUCGCAAGAUUAAAACUCAAAGAAAUUGGCGG
rnacentral:rRNA from 1 species